rnacentral:tRNA from 1 species
UAGGGUAUAGCGAAAUGGCUAUCGCGUUUGUUUUGGGUAUAAAAGACCGUGGGUUCGAAUCCCACUACCCUAA